rnacentral:rRNA from 1 species
GACGAACGCUGGCGGCGUGCUUAACACAUGCAAGUCGAACGAAGUGGCGAACGGGUGAGUAAAGCGUAAUCAACCUGCCCUUCAGAGGGGGCUAACAGUUGGAAACGACUGCUAAUACCGCAUAAUGAAGGAGGGGAUUGCGGCUGAUUAGCGAGGUGGGGGGGGAACGGCCGACCAAGGCGAUGAUCAGUAGCCGGUCUGAGAGGAUGAACGGCCACAUUGGGACUGAGACACGGCCCAGACUCCUACCUGAGGCAUCAGUUGGGAAUCGUCCGCAAUGGACGAAAGUCGGACGGAGCAACGCCGCGUGAGUGAUGACGGCCUUCGGGUUGUAAAGCUCUGUUAAUCGGGACGCGGUACCGGAAUAGAAAGCCACGGCUAACUACGUGCCAGCAGCCGCGGUAAUUC